GACGAACGCUGGCGGCGUACCUAAUACAUGCAAGUAGAACGCACAGUUUAUACCGUAGCUUGCUACACCAUAGACUGUGAGUUGCGAACGGGUGAGUAACGCGUAGGUAACCUGCCUGGUAGCGGGGGAUAACUAUUGGAAACGAUAGCUAAUACCGCAUAAUAUUGAUUAUUGCAUGAUAAUUGAUUGAAAGAUGCUAUUGCAUCACUACCAGAUGGACCUGCGUUGUAUUAGCUAGUAGGUGAGGUAACGGCCCACCUAGGCGACGAUACAUAGCCGACCUGAGAGGGUGAUCGGCCACACUGGGACUGAGACACGGCCCAGACUCCUACGGGAGGCAGCAGUAGGGAAUCUUCGGCAAUGGACGAAAGUCUGACCGAGCAACGCCGCGUGAGUGAAGAAGGUUUUCGGAUCGUAAAGCUCUGUUGUAAGAGAAGAACGGGUGUGAGAGUGGAAAGUUCACACUGUGACGGUAUCUUACCAGAAAGGGACGGCUAACUACGUG
rnacentral:rRNA from 1 species